UCCGAAUUGGUGUAGAGGUUAACAUUCCGGAUUCUCAUUCCGGAGCCCAGGGUUCGAUUCCCUGAUUCGGAG
rnacentral:tRNA from 1 species